rnacentral:rRNA from 1 species
GACGAACGCUGGCGGCGUGCUUAACACAUGCAAGUCGAACGGAAAGGCCCUGCUUUUUUGGGGUGCUCGAGUGGCGAACGGGUGAUUAACACGUGAGUAACCUGCCCUUGACUUUGGGAUAACUUCAGGAAACUGGGUCUAAUACCGGAUCGGAGCUCCUGCUGCAUGGUGGGGGUUGGAAAGUUUCGGCGGUUGGGGCUGGACUCGCGGCUUAUCAGCUUGUUGGUGGGGUAGUGGCUUACCAAGGCUUUGACGGGUAGCCGGCCUGAGAGGGUGACCGGGGACAAGGGGACUGAGGGACGGAGCAGAGGGGUAUGGGAGGCAGUGGGGGGGAAUAUGGUACAAUGAGGGGAAGCGUGAGGCGGAAGCGUUGCGGGCGGGAUGAGGGCUUUUGGGGUGUAAACCGCUUUCGGCUGUGACGAAGCGUGAGUGACGGUAAUGGGUAAAGAAGCACCGGCUAACUACGUG